CCACCGCUGCUUCAUACCAGCACCGCGGCCGUGGACUGCAUCAUGCAGUGGACUUGCCACCAGAAUGGUUCUGAAUGUGUAAAAUCUUAAUUCAUCAAGCAUAGAACCCACGAAGCAUAAAGAUCCAAAGUCAAUUGCACAAAAACCUAUUCAUUGCACAUAAUAUCAAAGAAAUGCAUAAAAAUCAAAAUCAAAACAAUAUAAAUCCUGCUUACUUGCGUUGAUAGCUUUUUAUUUCAUGCAAACCAUCUAUUCCAUCCAAGGCUACAACCAAAAAAUCAGAUAAAACUCAUACAACUAAGCAUAGAAGAAUUGUGCGCAGAUAAUUAUU
rnacentral:lncRNA from 1 species